rnacentral:rRNA from 1 species
GUGGGGAAUAUUGGACAAUGGGCGAAAGCCUGAUCCAGCCAUGCCGCGUGUGUGAAGAAGGUCUUCGGAUUGUAAAGCACUUUAAGUUGGGAGGAAGGGCAGUAAGUUAAUACCUUGCUGUUUUGACGUUACCGACAGAAUAAGCACCGACUAACUUCGUGCCAGCAGCCGCGGUAAUACGAAGGGUGCAAGCGUUAAUCGGAAUUACUGGGCGUAAAGCGCGCGUAGGUGGUUUUGUAAGUUGGAGGUGAAAUCCCCGGGCUCAACCUGGGAACUGCCUCCAAAACUGCAUGACUAGAGUACGGUAGAGGGUAGUGGAAUUUCCUGUGUAGCGGUGAAAUGCGUAGAUAUAGGAAGGAACACCAGUGGCGAAGGCGACUACCUGGACUGAUACUGACACUGAGGUGCGAAAGCGUGGGGAGCAAACAGGAUUAGAAACCCGAGUAGUCC